rnacentral:tRNA from 1 species
CGGGCGGUAGCUCAGCCUGGUAGAGCUUCCGAGCUAGCCGUAUGUCGGCUGGCGGGGAGGCUGUAGGCGCUACCUUUGGUAGCCGCCGCUCAGCCUACCAGGCGUACACAUGCAGAUACCGGAGUGUCGCAGGUUCAAAUCCUGCCCGCCCGACCA